UAUUACACAAGGUUUAUUAGGUAUACGCGAUUGCGGUAUGGCGUUCUCCAUGGUCAAAUUAUACAGCUGGUACAACGAAACUUAUGCGGAAAUCGGAGACUGCCAUACAAUCUGACCACGUUUUAAUUAAAGUUUGUGUAUGACAAAGAUGCGCAGUUUAUAAGGGGAAUUGUGCAAGCCUCCAUGCGAGACCGGAGCUACAGGUUACUAUUACUCUUGGUUCUAACUACACAGUUGAACAGAGUACCUGUGAAUGUGUAAAUGGGAUGGACUAAUGUCACCAUAAAGCCAGCAUUCUUCUCUAUGGGUACAAAAAUGUCAGCAAAACUGAUGUACGCAAGAGUUGGAUUACGCAUCCAGAGUGCGCCACCUCGUCAAACUAAGACGAUGGAAGAACUUUUUCCUGCACGUGACAGGUUUAUAAAUUACAGGUAUGCAUUUAUUAUGACUGUUUCAUGAAUGGUGCAAAAUAUUAAAAAAUGACAGUACCCCAAAAGUGAAAAUAUAAAAAAUAGAGAAAUAGCAUAUUUUUUAUGGGCAAUAUACACUUUUUUCAAUGGAUGGAACUGUAUCUCUCUGGUCGUCCAUCCUAAUUUUUUCAGACCAGCAAGCUACAGAUCUGCAGCUAGCAUGGUAUAUGUAAAACCAUUCAGUGUUGUAUUAUGCUCCAUUUUUCAACUUUUGUCAAAAAUUACUAGGGCAACAAAUAGGCCAGUCAAUGAUAGGGACAGGGAGUUCCUAUAUCAGAAAUUGACAACUGUAGGGAGAUUUUCAGGU